GGCCUCAUGGUCUAGUGGUAAUACCUUGUGCUUUUCCGCAACCAUUAUUAUAAUGUUCCUUGUUCAAAUCCGGUUGUGGGCA